GUCAGAUUGGCCGAGCGGUCUAAGGCGCCAGAAGGAUUUAAGCUCUGGUUCCCGUAAGGGAGCGUGGGUUCGAACCCCACAUCUGACA